GGAGAGGUGGCCGAGCGGUCUAAGGCACAUGUCUCGAAAACAUGAAGGGCAAAAAAGCCCUCGUGGGUUCGAAUCCCACCCUCUCCGCCA
rnacentral:tRNA from 2 species